rnacentral:rRNA from 1 species
AACGAACGCUGGCGGCAGGCCUAACACAUGCAAGUUGAACGCCGUAGCAAUACGGAGUGGCAGACGGGUGAGUAACACGUGGGAACGUACCCUUCGGUUCGGAAUAACUCAGGGAAACUUGAGCUAAUACCGGAUACGUCCGAGAGGAGAAAGAUUUAUCGCCGAGGGAUCGGCCCGCGUCUGAUUAGCUUGUUGGUGAGGUAACGGCUCACCAAGGCGACGAUCAGUAGCUGGUCNGAGAGGAUGAUCAGCCACAUUGGGACUGAGACACGGCCCAAACUCCUACGGGAGGCAGCAGUGGGGAAUAUUGGACAAUGGGCGCAAGCCUGAUCCAGCCAUGCCGCGUGAGUGAUGAAGGCCCUAGGUUGUAAAGCUCUUUUACCCGGGAAGAUAAUGACUGUACCGGGAGAAUAA